rnacentral:tRNA from 1 species
GGUGAAUGUAGCUCAGUCGGUUAGAGCAUUGGUUUGUGGAGCCAAGGGUCGCGGGUUCGAAUCCCGUCUUUCACCC